rnacentral:rRNA from 1 species
CGCGUAGGUGGUAGUGCAAGUCUGGGGUGGAAUCCCAGGGCUUAACCCUGGAACUGCCUUGGAAACUGUAUUACUUGAGUCAGUGAGGGGAGGGUAGAAUUCCUGGUGUAGCGGUGAAAUACGUAGAUAUCAGGAGGAAGGCCUGUGGCGAAGGCGGCCCUCUGGCGCUGAACUGACACUGAGGCGCGAAAGCGUGGGGAGCAAACAGGAUUAGAUACCCUGGUAGUCCACGCCCUAAACGGUGGGUACUAGGUGUAGGGCUCGUAAGGGUUCUGUGCCGAAGCGAAAGCAUUAAGUACCCCGCCUGGGGAGUACGGCCGCAAGGUUGAA